rnacentral:lncRNA from 1 species
GCGAUAUGAAGCAAGAUUGAGCAGAGUAAUGCUGAGAAAGGAAGCUUCAGAAAGUGAUUUAAAAGAGUUGAUUGACAAUGUAAACAUCACUUGCAAAGAUGUGCAACUCGUUUAUGACCAGAUACGUCAAAUACAAUCUCCUGAAGCAGACAUAAGGCGUAAAGUUGAUGCAUGCACGUCACUCUCCGUAUUUAUAGUCAACAGAGCUGAGAAACGGCUUGGAGGAGACAUUGAAGAUGAUGAAGAACCGUGGCCAGAUUUUGGAUCAUGCUUAGGAUCUGAAAGUUCUAAAUCAAAGGCAAAAUCACGAAGGUCCAAAGGUAGUUCAGGACAAUCAUGCUCACAAACAAUAAAAAGAAUUGAAGCUGAAGCCGAAGCAGCUGCAUCUCAAGAAAUACUAGCAGUAAUGGAUGAGCAGGAAAAGGAAACGGCUGAACUACAAAAAUUGGAACUUGAGAACUUUGCAAGGCAGCAAGCAAUGGAAGAACAGCGUAGAAAGAUUGACCGCUUGGAAGAAGUUAAGAAAUUGAAUGCUGCCAAGGCCCGCGUAAAGGUUUAUGAUGAAGUUGAAAGUACUGCUGAAAGUCGAAGUUUGUUACACAGUGUUAAAGCAGCAAGUGAAAUCCAAGCAAUCCCUAUCAUACCAAGCACUCCCUUUCAAGCUACAAACACGACCCAAGUCUUUCAUGCCACAAGCCCUGCAUUUGUUCCACACGUUCAACAAACCCCUAUCAUACAAGCAAAGGCCACAAGUCAAACACUCAAAGCUUCAAGUCCACCAUUUAUCCCUCAAGCCACACAAGUUCAAACGGUUGUAACCCAGUCACAGCUAAACUCUGAUCUAGUUGGCAUACUAGCAGAAGCAAUAAGUGCAAAUCGACUUCCAACUCCAGAACCUGCAUUGUUCACUGGAGACCCACUGAAGUUCAAAGACUGGCAGUUGUCGUUUGAAACCUUGAUUGAAAGAAAGAACAUUCCCAAGAAUGAAAGACUUUACUAUCUCAGGAAGUAUCUUGGUGGAUCUGCAAAAAGAGCAGUAGAAGGAUUUCUCCUUGUAGGCACAGAUGAAGCAUACGACUCAGCUUGGAAAGUGCUGGAAAAGCGUUUUGGAGAUCUGUUCACCAUAGGAAAAUGCUUCAGAGACAAGCUUCAUGGUUGGCCGAAAAUAAGCUACAAAGAUGGAAGUGAGUUAAGGGAAUUUGCUGACUUUCUUGGAAGUUGUGAAGCUGCGAUACCACACAUAAAGGCAUUAGAAGUUCUCAAUGAUUGUAUGGAAAUUCAGAGACUCUUGUUGAAACUUCCAGAUUGGUUGACCACAAGAUGGAACCGCACAGCCAUGAAAAUAAGACGAACAAAUAAUGGAGAGUAUCCAUCCUUCCGCACGUUUGUGGAGUUUGUGUCCAUGGAAGCUGACUUAGCGUGUGAUCCCAUAGCCUCAAUGCAAGCACUCAAAGGUUUGGACACAAGUAAACCC